GACGAACGCUGGCGGCGUGCCUAAUACAUGCAAGUCGAACGAGAGCGACCGGUGCUUGCACUGGUCAAUCUAGUGGCGAACGGGUGAGUAACACGUGGGUAACCUGCCCAUCAGAGGGGGAUAACAUCCGGAAACGGAUGCUAAAACCGCAUAGGUCUUCGAACCGCAUGGUUUGAAGAGGAAAAGAGGCGCAAGCUUCUGCUGAUGGAUGGACCCGCGGUGCAUUAGCUAGUUGGUGAGGUAACGGCUCACCAAGGCCGUGAUGCAUAGCCGACCUGAGAGGGUGAUCGGCCACAUUGGGACUGAGACACGGCCCAAACUCCUACGGGAGGCAGCAGUAGGGAAUCUUCCGCAAUGGACGCAAGUCUGACGGAGCAACGCCGCGUGAGUGAAGAAGGUUUUCGGAUCAUAAAACUCUGUUGUUAGAGAAGAACAAGUGCUAGAGUAACUGUUAGCGCCUUGACGGUAUCUAACCAGAAAGCCACGGCUAACUACGUG
rnacentral:rRNA from 1 species